UACGGGGGGAGCAAGCGUUGUUCGGAUUUACUGGGCGUAAAGGGCGCGUAGGCGGUAGCACAAGUCAGUUGUGAAAUCUCCGGGCUUAACUCGGAAAGGUCAACUGAUACUGUGCGACUAGAGUGCAGAAGGGGCAACUGGAAUUCUCGGUGUAGCGGUGAAAUGCGUAGAUAUCGUAAGGAAGACCAGUGGCGAAGGCGGGUCUCUGGACAGUUCCUGACGCUGAGGCACGAAGGUCAGGGGAGCAAACGGG
rnacentral:rRNA from 1 species